UACGUAGCAGCGAGCGUUGUUCGGAAUUACUGGGCGAAAGGGCGCGUAGGCGGCGCAACAAGUCACUUGUGAAAUCUCCGGGCUUAACCCGGAGCGGUCAAGUGAUACUGUCGUGCUAGAGUGCGGAAGGGGCAACUGGAAUUCUCGGUGUAGCGGUGAAAUCGUAGAUAUCGAGAGGAACACCUGCGGCGAAGGCGGGUUGCUGGGCCGACACUGACGUGAUGCGCGAAAGCCGGGGAGCAACGGG
rnacentral:rRNA from 1 species